UACGGGGGGGGGCAAGCGUUGUUCGGAAUUACUGGGCGUAAAGGGCUCGUAGGCGGCCAACUAAGUCGGACGUGAAAUCCCCAGGCUCAACCUGGGAACUGCGUCCGAUACUGGAUGGCUUGAAUCCGGGAGAGGGAUGCAGAAUUCCAGGUGUAGCGGUGAAAUGCGUAGAUAUCUGGAGGAAUACCGGUGGCGAAGGCGGCAUUCCUGGACCGGGCAUUGACGCUAAGGAGCGAAAGCCAGGGGAGCCAAACGGG
rnacentral:rRNA from 1 species